UACAGAGGUGGCAAGCGUUGUUCGGAAUUACUGGGCGUAAAGGGCGCGUAGGCGGCCAUCUAAGUCAGACGUGAAAUCCCCCGGCUUAACCUGGGAACUGCGUCUGAUACUGGACGGCUUGAGUUUGGGAGAGGGAUGCAGAAUUCCAGGUGUAGCGGUGAAAUGCGUAGAUAUCUGGAGGAAUACCGGUGGCGAAGGCGGCAUCCUGGACCAACACUGACGCUGAGGUGCGAAAGCGUGGGGAGCAAACAGG
rnacentral:rRNA from 1 species